rnacentral:rRNA from 1 species
UGGGGAAUAUUGCACAAUGGGCGAAAGCCUGAUGCAGCGACGCCGCGUGAGGGAUGACGGCCUUCGGGUUGUAAACCUCUUUCAGUAGGGACGAAGCGCAAGUGACGGUACCUGCAGAAGAAGCACCGGCUAACUACGUGCCAGCAGCCGCGGUAAUACGUAGGGUGCGAGCGUUGUCCGUAAUUACUGGGCGUAAAGAGCUCGUAGGCGGUUUGUCACGUCGUCUGUGAAAUCCUAGGGCUUAACCCUGGACGUGCAGGCGAUACGGGCUUACUUGAGUACUACAGGGGAGACUGGAAUUGCUGGUGUAGCGGUGGAAUGCACAGAUAUCAGGAAGAACACCGAUGGCGAAGGCAGGUCUCUGGGUAGUAACUGACGCUGAGGAGCGAAAGCAUGGGUAGCGAACAGG